rnacentral:rRNA from 1 species
AGAGGUUGAUUCUGGCUCAGAACGAACGCUGGCGGCGCGUUUUAAGCAUGCAAGUCGAACGGUAUACAGUGCUUGCACUGUAGAGAGUGGCGAACGGGUGAGUAACACGUAAGUGAUCUGCCCUGGGGACGGGGAUAGCUCAUGGAAACAUGAGAUAAUACCGGAUGAAGUAACAUUUUUUGAAGAUGAUGUUAUGAAAAGAGCUUUGGCUCUGCCCUGGGAUGAGCUUGCGGCCCAUUAGCUUGUUGGUGAGGUAAAGGCUCACCAAGGCGACGAUGGGUAGCCGGCCUGAGAGGGUGAACGGCCACAUUGGGACUGAGACACGGCCCAGACUCCUACGGGAGGCAGCAGCUAAGAAUCUUCCGCAAUGGGGGAAACCCUGACGGAGCGACGCCGCGUGAACGAAGAAGGCAGAGAUGUUGUAAAGUUCUUUUCCUGUUGAAGAAUAAGUAGAGGAGGGAAUGCCUCCAUGAUGACGUUAGACAGGGAAUAAGCCACGGCUAAUUACGUGCCAGCAGCCGCGGUAACACGUAAGUGGCAAGCGUUGUUCGGAUUCAUUGGGCGUAAAGGGCGUGUAGGCGGCGUAUCAAGCUUGGUGUGAAAUAUCCCGGCUCAACCGGGAAGGCGCGCUGAGAACUGAUAUGCUAGAGUUCAAGAGGGGGAGUUAGAAUUCCAGGUGUAGGGGUGAAAUCUGUAGAUAUCUGGAAGAAUACCGGUGGCGAAGGCGAGCUCCUGGCAAUGAACUGACGCUGAGGCGCGAAAGCGUGGGUAGCAAACAGGAUUAGAUACCCUGGUAGUCCACGCUGUAAA